UACGGGGGGAGCAAGCGUUGUUCGGAUUUACUGGGCGUAAAGGGCGCGUAGGCGGUCAGCACAAGUCAGUUGUGAAAUCUCCGGGCUUAACUCGGAAAGGUCAACUGAUACUGUGCGACUAGAGUGCGGAAGGGGCAACUGGAAUUCUCGGUGUAGCGGUGAAAUGCGUAGAUAUCGAGAGGAACACCUGCGGCGAAGGCGGGUUGCUGGGCCGACACGUGACGCUGAUGCGCGAAAGCCAGGGGAGCGAAC
rnacentral:rRNA from 1 species